UGCGGUUGAAAAGCUCGUAGUUGGAUCUUGGGCGAGUGCCGCCGGUCCGUCGCAAGGCGUGUCACUGGCGGCGCUUGCCUCUACGUCGGUUCUCCGUCGGUGCUCUUGACUGAGUGUCGCGGUGGCCGAGAAGUUUACUUUGAAAAAAUUAGAGUGUUCAAAGCAGGCUGGUCGCUUGCAUAGUGUUGCAUGGAAUAAUGGAAUAGGACCUCGGUUCUAUUUUGUUGGUUUUCGGAGCGCGAGGUAAUGAUCAAGAGGGACAGACGGGGGCGUCCGUACUCUGCCGUUAGAGGUGAAAUUCUUGGAUCGGCGGAAGACGAACUACUGCGAAAGCAUUCGCCAAGAAUGUUUUCUUUAAUCAAGAGCGAAAGUCAGAGGUUCGAAGACGAUCAGAUACCGUCCUAGUUCUGACUAUAAACGAUGCCAACUAGCGAUCGGGAGGCGUUACCAUGACGACCUUCCCGGCAGCUUCCGGGAAACCAAAGUCUUUGGGUUCCGGGGGAAGUAUGGUUGCAAAGCUGAAACUUAAAGGAAUUGACGGAAGGGCACCACCAGGAGUGGAGCCUGCGGCUUAAUUUGACUCAACACGGGGAAACUCACCCGGCCCGGACACAGGAAGGAUUGACAGAUUGAGAGCUCUUUCUUGAUUCUGUGGGUGGUGGUGCAUGGCCGUUCUUAGUUGGUGGAGCGAUUUGUCUGGUUAAUUCCGAUAACGAACGAGACUCUGGCAUGCUAAAUAGUUACGCGACCUUCUCGGUCGGCGUUUAACUUCUUAGAGGGACUAGUGGCGCUUAGCCAACGAGAUUGAGCAAUAACAGGUCUGUGAUGCCCUUAGAUGUUCGGGGCCGCACGCGCGCUACACUGAAUGGAGCAGCGAGUGCACUGCCUAGGCCGAAAGGUCCGGGUAACCCGUUGAACCCCAUUCGUGAUUGGGAUAGGGACUUGCAAUUAUUUCCCUUGAACGAGGAAUUCCCAGU
rnacentral:rRNA from 1 species